GAAGCUUUACUGUAUCUUGGAAUUGGGUUUGGUCUUUGCUUGCGCAGGAUAGGUGGGAGGCUUUGAAGGCAAUCUUGCGGGAUUGCUGGAGCCACUGGUGAGAUACCACUCUUGUAAUGAUAAAAUCCUAACUUUGAACCGUUAUCCGGUCAGAGAACAGUUUCAGGUGGGCAGUUUGACUGGGGCGGUCGCCUCCUAAAAGGUAACGGAGGCGUGCAAAGGUUCCCUCAGGCUGGUUGGACAUCAGUCGUAGAGUGUAAAGGCAUAAGGGAGCUUGACUGCAAGACUUACAAGUCGAGCAGAGACGAAAGUCGGCCUUAGUGAUCCGACGGUUCCGAGUGGAAGGGCCGUCGCUCAACGGAUAAAAGUUACUCUAGG
rnacentral:rRNA from 2 species